rnacentral:rRNA from 1 species
GUGCCAGCCGCCGCGGUAAUACGUAGGGAGCAAGCGUUGUCCGGAAUCAUUGGGCGUAAAGCGCGCGUAGGCGGCCCGGUAAGUCCGCUGUGAAAGUCCAGGGCUCAACCCUGGAAUGCCGGUGGAUACUGCCGGGCUAGAGUCCGGAAGAGGCGAGUGGAAUUCCUGGUGUAGCGGUGGAAUGCGCAGAUAUCAGGAGGAACACCGAUAGCGAAGGCAGCUCGCUGGGACGGUACUGACGCUAAGGCGCGAAAGCGUGGGGAGCGAACAGGAUUAGAUACCCUAGUAGUCC